rnacentral:rRNA from 1 species
UACGUAGGUGGCAAGCGUUGUCCGGAAUUAUUGGGCGUAAAGCGCGCGCAGGCGGUCCCUUGAGUCUGAUGUGAAAGCCCACGGCUCAACCGUGGAGGGUCAUUGGAAACUGGGGGACUUGAGUACAGAAGAGGAAAGCGGAAUUCCACGUGUAGCGGUGAAAUGCGUAGAGAUGUGGAGGAACACCAGUGGCGAAGGCGGCUUUCUGGUCUGUAACUGACGCUGAGGCGCGAAAGCGUGGGGAGCAAACAGG